UUUGGAGGGAUUUCUUCGGUGGCGGCGCCGUCCUAAGUUCCUUGGAACAGGACGUCACAGAGGGUGAGAAUCCCGUGCCUGGAUGGCGGACCGUCACCAUUGUGAAGAAUCUCCGACGAGUCGAGUUGUUUGGGAAUGCAGCUCAAAAUGGGUGGUAAAUUUCAUCUAAAGCUAAAUAUUGGCGAGAGACCGAUAGCGCACAAGUAGAGUGAUCGAAAGAUGAAAAGCACUUUGAAAAGAGAGUUAAAAAGUACGUGAAAUUGUUGAAAGGGAAGCGCUUGCGACCAGACUCGAUCUUUGGUGAUCAGCCGGGCCCUUCCGGGUCAAGCUGCUCUUGCCACUGAUCGGGCCAGCAUCGGUUCCGAGGGCGGGAUAAAAGGGGUGGGGAAUGUGGCUUCCCUCGGGGAGUGUUAUAGACCCCCUCACAAUGCCGCCACUUGGGACCGAGGACCGCGCUUCGGCUAGGAUGCUGGCGUAAUGGUCUUAAGCGACCCGUCUUGAAACACGGACCAAGGAGUCUAACAUCUAUGCGAGUGUUCGGGUGGAAAACCCCUGCGCGUAAUGAAAGUGAACGGAGGUGUGAACCCUCACGGGUGCAACAUCGACCGGUCCUGAUGUCUUCGGAUGGAUCUGAGUAAGAGCAUAGCUGUUGGGACCCGAAAGAUGGUGAACUAUGCCUGAAUAGGGUGAAGCCAGAGGAAACUCUGGUGGAGGCUC
rnacentral:rRNA from 1 species